rnacentral:misc_RNA from 1 species
AAGAUCACUGCGCACCCUGAUGCUGGCAGUAGUCCACCGAUCGCGCGAUAAAAUAUUCUGAACAAAUCCCGAGUACUUGAUUUUUUCGUCAUCAAAUCCGUAACCUACGCUUGCACCGAUGAUCCAUUUUUUGCUGAAAUCGACAUUGGUUUUAAAUCCGCCUUGCAGUCUGAAACCUUCUAUGUUAUUAUAAGCUACGGUAGAAAUAUAAGGGCCAAGGUUAAUCUUUCCCGCAACGUAAUAGCCAUUUACCACAAUCUUUAUCAGGUCUGUAUAGGUCUUUACAACCGGAAUACUUUG